rnacentral:lncRNA from 1 species
UUUUUUGUUUUUGUAUUUUGUACCAUUUUGAGCACAAGUCCUCAUCAUUGACUCUCCAAAGUUAUAGCAGCAUAGAAGAUUCCCGUUGACGGGAUUCUACUGCAGACUUGGCCAUUCCUGGCAGGUGACAACCUCGGGUCAAGUACUCAACUGGUUUCUUGUAACAAUACAUGGGAAUUAGGAAGACGGACAUCACAGUGGACUACAAUCACCGAUUAAUCCUUCGCCGUUGUUUCAUCGCAGCGAUACCGCACAGCAUUCAGUGAUUUCAGUCAGCAAUACUGCUCACCGACGUGCACUCCUUUCGUCACCAGGGGAGGUGGCUAUAGGGCUGUAGAGGAGUCUGACGUGCUAAAACUAGCAUUAUGCGACUACCCAACCGACUAGGCCUACAACCGAUGGCCUCACUCGCCCACUGUCUCCUACUACCCCUGCUCUCAAACACAGCACAGAGUUUCUUCAGAAUGUUGCACCCAUCCCAGCAACGUCAACCUGCAGGAGGAAGGGCCAGUUUACAUAUCUUUCAUAAUCGAAGGUCACGGAGAUCAUACGUAAAACGUGCCAUGCAGUGGGGGAGAGGUUGGGUGAGAACGGGAUGUGUUAGAAAACGAAAACCAUUUGGUAUUCAUUUUGAUAUUGGUUGUUGCUGACCCAUCCCCAGCAACGCCCACCUGCAGAAGGAAAGGCCAGUUUCCAUACCUUUCAUAAUCGAAGGUCACGAAGAUCAUUACGUAAAACGUGUCAUGCAGUGGUGUAGAGGUUGGGUGAGGACGACACGUGUUUUUUGCUUCAUUAUCAAGCAGGUACAAUAGCCGCAAGGCUUGAGUUGAGAAGUAAGGGUGAGGAAAAAGUCGUAUAAAAUGAGAGAGAAAAGGCGACAGAGAUCAGUCGAAAGAGUAUCUCCGACACGGCAACAAGCGCAGUGCAUUUCUUGUCUCCACCGGCCUUCUUCAUCGCAUUAUCAGUUCGCAAUUAUGGGUGAGUGAGCUUCUCCGACACUUCAACAACUGCAUCCUUCGUCGUAUUACCAGUUCAUAAUGAUGGUAAACUAUGCCGUCUUGCUGCAGUGCUGCUAUUGGUUGCUGUAUUGCUGAUGGCGAAUAUCAAGAAACAGCAGCGAAAGAAUACUCUACCACGCCGCCUCCUUACUAAACAACAGCGUCAACACCUACUGACUAUACGAAGGCCUUCAAGUCCUACUACACCACCAAGGCUCCUGAGUAUUAAACUGCAACCUACGCUGCUCCAUCUUUGAAAACAUGGUUUACAAUGGCGUCGUCCUGCGUUUGAUUGUUGUAUCCUUGAUGGUUGGGUCGACUACUGGUGUACCGAUGUUUCGUGGGUAUGGUGGAUACCAAACCUCAACGCCGGCGUCUUACCACACAACGACAUUCGCAACAACCGAAUACUACACCACCAAGGCUUCUGAUUAUUACACCAUAACUUAUGAUGUUCCAAACUACUACACCGAAGCCUUGGAAGUAUAAUUCUGCCUAGUACUACACCACGAAGGCAGCGGAGUACUACACCACGAAGGCAGCGGAGUACUACACCACGAAGGCAGCGGAGUACUACACCACGAAGGCAGCGGAGUACUACACCACGAAGGCAGCGGAGUACUACACCACGAAGGCAGCGGAGUACUACACCACGAAGGCAGCGGAGUACUACACCACGAAGGCAGCGGAGUACUACACCACGAAGGCAGCGGAGUACUACACCACGAAGGCAGCGGAGUACUACACCACGAAGGCAGCGGAGUACUACACCACGAAGGCAGCGGAGUACUACACCACGAAGGCAGCGGAGUACUACACCACGAAGGCAGCGGAGUACUACACCACGAAGGCAGCGGAGUACUACACCACGAAGGCAGCGGAGUACUACACCACGAAGGCAGCGGAGUACUACACCACGAAGGCAGCGGAGUACUACACCACGAAGGCAGCGGAGUACUACACCACGAAGGCAGCGGAGUACUACACCACGAAGGCAGCGGAGUACUACACCACGAAGGCAGCGGAGUACUACACACAACACAGCAGCUGCUAAUUCGUACUUCGUUGAACUGGAAUAAACCGAGGCUCUAGUUUACUACACUACAAUCUACGCUUCUCCCAGGUACUCAUAGAAGCCCCAAAGUACUACAUCGACGAGACCUUAUAUUGCACUUCAACCCCCGCUGCCCACCGAGGAUCCCAAGUACUACACCACUACUUACGCUACAUCCACCUACUACAACGAAGCUCAGAAGUCACUACUCUGCCCCGAGUUACUACACCACUAAGACAGCCGAAUAUUACACCACAAACUACGCUUCCGGUUCUUACUACAAGGAGAUUCCUAAAUACUAGAGCAAAAAUUUUCUAUUUAAUUUUUUUUAUAUUUGUCGGUCAUAUGGUCAUUGGUCACUGGGAAUUAAUUGUUAUCUUCAAUGAGAAAAUAAAAAUUUUAAUGCGGGUAA